rnacentral:rRNA from 1 species
AGUGAACGCUGGCGGUAGGCCUAACACAUGCAAGUCGAACGGCAGCACAGUAAGAGCUUGCUCUUACGGGUGGCGAGUGGCGGACGGGUGAGGAAUACAUCGGAAUCUACUUUUUCGUGGGGGAUAACGUAGGGAAACUUACGCUAAUACCGCAUACGACCUACGGGUGAAAGCAGGGGAUCUUCGGACCUUGCGCGAUUGAAUGAGCCGAUGUCGGAUUAGCUAGUUGGCGGGGUAAAGGCCCACCAAGGCGACGAUCCGUAGCUGGUCUGAGAGGAUGAUCAGCCACACUGGAACUGAGACACGGUCCAGACUCCUACGGGAGGCAGCAGUGGGGAUUAUUGGACAAUGGGCGCAAGCCUGAUCCAGCCAUACCGCGUGGGUGAAGAAGGCCUUCGGGUUGUAAAGCCCUUUUGUUGGGAAAGAAAAGCAGCAGGUUAAUACCCCGCUGUUCUGACGGUACCCAAAGAAUAAGCACCGGCUAACUUCGUGC